rnacentral:tRNA from 1 species
GGGGAUAUAGCUCAGCGGGAGAGCGCUACGCUGGCAGCGUAGAAGUCGGGGGUUCAAAUCCCCCUAUCUCCA